rnacentral:rRNA from 1 species
UAGCGUAGGGGGCAAGCGUUUGUCCGGGAUUUAUUGGGCGUAAAGAGCUCGUAGGCGGUUUGUCGCGUCGAAAUGGUGAAAACCCGGGGCUCAACCCCCGGGGCCUGCAUUCGAUACGGGCAGACUAGAGUUCGGUAGGGGAGUCUGGAAUUCCUGGUGUAGCGGUGAAAUGCGCAGAUAUCAGGAGGAACACCGGUGGCGAAGGCGGGACUCUGGGCCGAUACUGACGCUGAGGAGCGAAAGCGUGGGGAGCAAACAGG